rnacentral:rRNA from 1 species
GAUGAACGCUGGCGGCGUGCCUAAAACAUGCAAGUCGAGCGGUAAGGCCACUUCGGUGGUACACGAGCGGCGGACGGCUGAGUAACACGUAGGAACGUACCCCAAACUGAGGGAUAAGCACCGGAAACGGUGUCUAAUACCGCAUGUGCUCUUCGGAGUAAAGCUACGGCGGUUUGGGAACGGCCUGCGCAUGAUUAGCUUGUUGGUGAGGUAAUGGCUCACCAAGGCGACGAUCAUUAGCUGGUCUGAGAGGAUGAUCAGCCAGACUGGGACUGAGACACGGCCCAGACUCCUACGGGAGGCAGCAGUUAGGAAUCUUCCACAAUGGGCGAAAGCCUGAUGGAGCAACGCCGCGUGCAGGAUGAAUGCCUUCGGGUUGUAAACUGCUUUUAUCUGUGACGAUUAUGACGGUAGCAGAUGAAUAAGGAUCGGCUAACUCCGUGCCAGCCGCCGCCGUAA